rnacentral:rRNA from 1 species
UACGGAGGGGCUAGCGUUGUUCGGAAUUACUGGGCGUAAAGCGCACGUAGGCGGAUCAGCAAGUUAGGGGUGAAAUCCCCGGGCUUAACCUGGGAACUGCAUUUGUGACUGCACGGCUGGAGUGCGGCAGAGGGGGAUGGAAUUCCGCGUGUAGCAGUGAAAUGCGUAGAUAUGCGGAGGAACACCGAUGGCGAAGGCAAUCCCCUGGGCCUGCACUGACGCUCAUGCACGAAAGCGUGGGGAGCAAACAGG